rnacentral:lncRNA from 1 species
GCAAAACACAAUUAAACUGUUUCAUUUUUUUACUUUUAAAAACUGAAAAUAGAAAAGAGUUUUUAAAAACACUUUUGCAAAACAUUAUAUUCAAACAAGUUUUUAAAUUUUAAAACUUUUAAAAACUGAAAAUAGAAAAGAGUUUUUAAAAACACUUUUGCAAAACAUUAUAUUCAAACAAGUUUUUAAAUUUUAAAUUUUCAAAAACUAAAAAAGAGUUUUUAAGAUG